rnacentral:rRNA from 1 species
GAUGAACGCUGGCGGCGUGCCUAAUACAUGCAAGUCGAGCGAACGGACGAGAAGCUUGCUUCUCUGAUGUUAGCGGCGGACGGGUGAGUAACACGUGGAUAACCUACCUAUAAGACUGGGAUAACUUCGGGAAACCGUAGCUAAUACCGGAUAAUAUUUUGAACCGCAUGGUUCAAAAGUGAAAGACGGUCUUGCUGUCACUUAUAGAUGGAUCCGCGCUGCAUUAGCUAGUUGGUAAGGUAACGGCUUACCAAGGCAACGAUGCAUAGCCGACCUGAGAGGGUGAUCGGCCACACUGGAACUGAGACACGGUCCAGACUCCUACGGGAGGCAGCAGUAGGGAAUCUUCCGCAAUGGGCGAAAGCCUGACGGAACACCGCCGCGUGAGUGAUGAAGGUCUUCGGAUCGUAAAACUCUGUUAUUAGGGAAGAACAUAUGUGUAAGUAACUGUGCACAUCUUGACGGUACCUAAUCAGAAAGCCACGGCUAACUACGUG